GCAUAAUUUCUUUCUUUCUACAAAGGAAAUGAUGCCUUAAUGAUGAGUCCUGGCCUAGAAAUUGGAAAACUUUGAUUCUAGAACUAGCAUCCCCUCUGACUUGCUCUAUUACCUUGGAUAUUAGAUUUUCUGGGCCUUUGUGUCCUUUUUUUUGCAAAAUCAGAUGAUCCUGACUCCCUCAUCUCAGAGUUGUUAAAUAGCUAACAAGAUAACUGGUAAUGCCUUGGAAACUGAUUAGUGCUUUAUGGAUGUGAGAGAGAAUUAUGAUACCCAGCAAAUUCAGAUUAGAGAUCCUGUGCUUUUUUCACACACUUGCCAAGUCUUAUUUAAUGAAAAUAACAACCCUUAUAACUUUUUAAAACUAAAUAUAUAAGUUGAAUAAAUAUCUUUUAAAAAGAAUAAUUAAAUUAUAAUUUGAUAUUUUCCAAAAAGAAAAAGAAGAAGCAUCUUUCACAAUAAAAAGCAUAGAGGACAUUUACCGACUUGGUGGAUCAUUUUCUGGAAAAAAAAAUCCAGAAUCAACCACUAGAUGUCAGUGUUGGACAAGCACAGAGAUAUUGGCAGCGCCUCCCGCAUUAGCGUCUGGCUCCAUUUCAGCUAUCAAGUUUCUCUGCAAAGGAGAGGGAGUUUGUGUAACUGAAGCAAAGAUUUUGCUUUCUCACUUCUCGCCCCGUCUUGCGGAAAACAGCCUGAUGCUCUGGUUGGCCAACAGGAAGAAAUGGUUUAGUGACACAAAGUCAAACGUGGCUUUCGUGUGUGGCCACACUUCCUGGAGACCAGUGGAGGGGGCUGGAGGUGACAGCGCCUCGUGGUGUGGAACAAGGCCCUGCUGCAGCACCCUGCGUGGCUGCUGGCCAGGAACUGGCCGUGUCCUGGGGAAUGAGUCAUCAGGCACAAGCAGCUUGCUCUUGGAGGCAGGCCCAGCGCUGGUUUCAAGGCCUCGCUGAAAUGCCACAUCCUCCAGAAUGCCAUACUUAAUCUACAAAUUUGAAGCGAGUUUGCCUUCCCUCCUCCGCCUUUAUAACCCUUGGCUUGAACCUUUUUAUUACAUAGCACUGUAUAUGUGGCUCAGUUCGACUUUUUUCUUGGAGUAUAAGUUCCUGGAGGUCAAGGACUGUGCUAUACACACUAGCCUCUCUGCCUUUAUGGGGACAGAGGUCACCACCACAGGAUGAGAAUCACGUAAGACUUAAGUAAAAGUGUCCUGGUAGAUCAAGAAUUGCACUGGUUGAUAGAGGAGGCAAUAGACCUUUCCUAGAAGUCUUGGCAACCCACUCCAGUGUUCUUGCCUGGAGAAUCCCAGGGACAGGGGAGCCUGGUGGGCUGCCGUCUAUGGGGUCGCACAGAGUCGGACACGACUGAAGCGACUUAGCAGCAGCAGCAGAAGUCUUUACAAAUGGCUGUGUCCUCAUUAGACUGAGAUGAGUGGAGGUUUACUGCAAAAUGAACUGCUGUGAUUCUCUAAGUAUAGUGGCUGUGGACGCCAUGAGUCUGCAUUGCAGGGAUGCCCUGUCCCCCUGUAGCAAAUGGCCAGUACCUUCAAAGUACAUGUAUGUCAGCAGGGACCUGAUGGAGUAAGGUCUCAGCAGUGGAUUUGGACCAUAUCAGGGUUUCUUCAGACGGGAUUGACAUGUAUUUGAAUGUUUUCACUCAAACUAUCCAGCAGGGAAAUCUUCCCCCACAAACAUCAUAGUAUAAAUAAGAAGCUUGCCCUUUUUUUCCUGUCUGAGGUCUGUCAAUCUCACACAUACAAUGCAAGGCAAGGCCAAGGCCAUGACCUGACUGAUUUUGACUGGUAAGGAUACAGUGCGGCACUUUUAGAUUUAGGAAGUUGAGUACUUAUGUAGACAGUAGAAACAAGAAGAACCUGAAAGAGCCACCUCUUUGUAGUUGUCCCCCACACUGAAAGGAAUGACAUGGGCCAGAUGACCGCAACACGAGUGGUGGGGCUCUUCAUUGCUGAGAAGCCCUAUGUAGGCCACCACAAAGUAGUUCUAUAUUCUGCAUAAUAAAUAUUUAUAUAAAUUUAUAUUAGAAAUUGUAUUUUAUAUUUUUAUAACAUUUAUAUUUUAUAAAUUUGUGUUUAUAUAUUAAAGCAGUUAGAUAUUCUGAGAA